rnacentral:rRNA from 1 species
CAGCCGCCGCGGGAAUACGAAGGGUGCAAGCGUUAAUCGGAAUUACUGGGCGUAAAGCGUGCGUAGGCGGUUUGUUAAGUCUGCUGUGAAAUCCCCGGGCUCAACCUGGGAAUGGCAGUGGAUACUGGCAAGCUAGAGUGUGUCAGAGGAUGGUGGAAUUCCCGGUGUAGCGGUGAAAUGCGUAGGGAUGUGGAGGAACACCGAUGGCGAAGGCAGCCCCCUGGGCCAAUACUGACGCUCAUGCACGAAAGCGUGGGAAGCAAACAGGAUUAGAUACCCGCGUAGUCCCUGUCUCUUAUAC